AUUUGGUAUUAGUAUAUUAUUUUAAGUAAAAUUUUGUAUCUAUAGUAUAUCUAUGGCAUGGUAUUUUAGUAUUAUAAUACCAUCCAUGGUAUACUGAACAAAUAAAUAACAAUGGUUCAGUACAAUAUUAGAAGUAUAUUAGUACUUUAGCAUUAAGUAUGUUUUUUGUUAAUUAUUCCUAAAGAACUGGGAUGAUAGUCCCACAGAAAAAUUGUAGAGUGUGCCAAGUUAUUUCCAUCACUAGCACCCCCUGAAACACCCCUGCCAAAUGAUACACCACUGAAGCUUCACCAUGCUUCCCCUCCACAAACCAAUAAAACCCGGUAGUGUACUAUCUCCAGGGGCACCCUGUUCCCUAAAAUAUUCUACAAAUCUCCAGCACAAAUAAAUAGCGGCCUGCGAACAUUAGAAAGCACUAUUUGAAGCAUUCAGCUGAGAAGAUCUAUAUGACUUUCUAUUCUUCCUCUAUUUUUCCACUCAACGUAAUUAUUCGUAAUCACACAUAAGUACACAUAUAAUUGCCUAUUAUUAUAGCAGCUAUUACUACACAAAGGGAGUAGUUUAAUAUCUCGUAUGCAAUGUGGUACCUUCCCAGAAUUAAUUAAUUACUAAAGUCGUCUCGGAGAAGUCCCUUUUCAAAGAGAUAAUUCCAACGGCCAGAUCCACCAGUUGCUGUAAACGACCAUCCAGUCUGAGGAACCUCUUCUAAAUAGGAACCUGUAAACGACCCGAUAUUUGCAUGACUAAACCGGUACCAUGAUGAAAUUUACUUUUAAAAUAGCUGAACGUUGUGAUUGUCAGCGUUUGCAGACGAUCCUCCCUUGGAGUACGAAUUUUAUCCUGGCCCAAAAUUCACCCGCUCCCCCGACGAUUAUCGAUUGACCAAACUUUCACAAUCCCUUUAAACUUAAACUGUUGAAAUAUUCACACGGUGUCUCUUCGAUGUUGUUCGAGACAGAACGACUGCAUUGAAGUAAUUAAAUUCUAAGAAUCGAGCUUGCCAGAUCAUCGAUAGAAAAUUCAGAUAAUUAAGAUGGAAAAUUUGAAACAAAAGAGAUCGAUCAAGUUCCUCAACCCCUUUGCCAACAGCAUAGAAAAAUUCUACAGUGAUCUAAACUCGAUUAUUUUGGGAUUUUUGACUUGGAAAAUUGUUCAAUUUCCAUAUUUCAGGAUUUUCAUAUUUCCAAUUUCUAAACUUGGACAUUUCCACAUUUCCAAUCUCCAGACCUGGAAAUUUUCAAACUUCCAUUUCCCAGACUCAAGGAAUUCAAAUUUCCAAUUUUCUAAUCUCCAGAUUUUGAAAUCUCCAACUUGCAGGCCUGGGUAUUUCUGAAUUUCCAAUUCUUCAAUUUCUGUAGCCAAAAAUCUCCAAAAAUUUUCUAUUUCCAGAUGCAAAAAGCGGACUCCCUAAAAUUGCUUAAUAUUACUCACAUUGACUAGCUUGGACCCAACAAUAAAUUGCUGGCUAAGUAAUUUGUAACUAACUGUUUAAGAUACAAAUAAUACAAUAGUGGUAUGGAACCCAAAAAACAGUACGUGUCUGUGGCAUCCCCAGAAAAGCGGCAGCUUAUCCCCGUCGAGCAAGCCACCCCUGCCGCAUCGUGGCUUCAAGAGCACCCCCGGCUCAAUAGUGUACGCAGACGUGCUAUCUAGAUACGUCUAUCUAGAGACCGUGUCUGCCUUCCUGGCUCUGGUUAAAUGGACAAAACUUGUUUUGAUCUGUGAGCCUAUAAGACUAGUGACUGAAGCUAACUGAUCUUGCUACGGGGCUCUGCAAAAGUAGAUUUGAAUGCUCUGUAGACUUUCAUAGAGAAAGACCCAUAAACGUUGGGAACGUAGAACGUGAAAGCGAGACAUCGUUCGAUCGAUAGAUCUCGACGUGAUAAUUAUAGUAAAUGCAUUGAAUUAUUCGGUCCCGGAGGAUUCCAAGUCGAGUACUGAGAAAACUAUGCGAGGCGAAACGUAACCUGUCCGUCCUGUGCCAACUUUCACUCCAAGCGUGACGAUCCCAACAGUGCCGUAAAGAAACCAGGGGAGGGCGAUUCUAGGAAAACUGAGAAUCCCAAAUGUUGCCCGAUAAAAAUUCACGGCCUCGUAAAAGCAACUAAUCAAGAACGGUAAGUAAAACGAGGA